UACGGGGGGGGCAAGCGUUGUUCGGAAUUACUGGGCGUAAAGGGCUCGUAGGCGGCCAACUAAGUCAUACGUGAAAUCCCUCGGCUUAACCGGGGAACUGCGUCUGAUACUGGAUGGCUUGAAUUCGGGAGAGGGAUGUGGAAUUCCAGGUGUAGCGGUGAAAUGCGUAGAUAUCUGGAGGAACACCGGUGGCGAAGGCGGCAUCCUGGACCGAGAUUGACGCUGAUGCGCGAAAGCCAGGGGAGCAAACGGG
rnacentral:rRNA from 1 species